ACAAAUGUAAAUUAAUGCAGAUAGCGGAUGCCUUGGCUUGUUUGGACGACGAAGGACGCUAAGGGCGCGAAAGUCGUCGGGGAGCUCCCAAAAAGCUAUGAUCCGACGGUAUCCGAAUGGAGCAAUCCAAGCACAGUAAUAUGUGCUUACUGAGUGCCUUAAGGCACUCGGGGGCAACCUGGUGAACUGAAAUAUCUAAGUAACCAGAGGAAAAGAAAUCGCACGAGAUUCCCUGAGUAAGCGACGAGCGAAAAGGGAAGAGCCCAAACUCAGAUUUAUCUGAGGGUUGUAGGACUUCAAUUUGCUUUAUCAUUGAUAGUAGAACAGUGUGGAAUAGCUGACCAAAGACAGUGAAAGUCUGGUAUACGAAAUUAAUGAUAAAUCAUCGAGGAUUCCUGAGUAGGUUGGGAGACGGCAAACUCCCUUCUGAAUCUGGGGUGACCACACUCCAAGGCUAAAUACCAAACAAGACCGAUAGUGAACGAGUACCGUAAGGGAAAGGUGAAAAGAAGGGUUGAAGACCCCAUGAAAUAGUACCUGAAACUAUCUGCUAACAAUCAGACAAAGUCCCGCCACUAAAAGAUUUAAGUGGUGCGGUAAGGAAAUAAUUAUGUUUUAUGUGUAUAUUCUUCAAAGUAUUGAAGAUGGAACUUUUUACACUGGAUAUACUGGUGAUCUUAAAGAGAGAUUUACUAGUCAUAAUACCGGUAGAUCGCAAUAUACUAGCAAGUCACAAUGGAAGCUAGUUUAUUACGAAGCAUAUGAAAACAAAUUAUUAGCUACGAAAAGAGAAGCUGUGCUCAAAAAGUACGGGCGAGUUUAUCAGUUAUUAAUCAAAAGAAUUAAUAACUUUUGAAUCUUUUAGUGGCGGGAUGAUGUCGUGCCUAUUGAAGAAUGAGCCGGCGAGUGAAUCAUAACAGCAGGUUAAGCAAUUUUAAUUGCGCAGCCAAAGUGAAAGCGAGCGUGAAUAGCGCGUUUUUUGUUGUUGUGUUUCGACCCGAAACCAGGUGAGCUUACCAUGGUCAGGAUGAACCUUGAUUAAACUUGAGGGGAGGUCCGCACUGAUGACUGCUGCAAAAGUCUCGGAUGAACUGUGGUAAGGGGUAAUAUGCCAAACGAACCUGGAGAUAGCUGGUUCUCCCCGAAAUAUAUUUAGGUAUAGGGUCAGGUUAAGUUGAUUGAGGGUAGGGCUCUGAUCUGAGUUUCCUGGGCGAAAGCCUUGGACUCUAGUCAAACUUCGAAUAUCAAUUAAUGUUUCCUGGCACUCAGCUUACGGGAGCUAAGUUCCGUAAACAAAAGGAAAACAAUCCAGAUUCACGAAUAAGGUCUCUAAUAAUCGUUUAGUGGGAAAGGAAGUUUUAUUUCUCAGACACCUAGGAGGUCGGCUCAGAAGCAGCCAUCCUUCAAAGAAAGCGUAACAGCUCACUAGCCGCAGAAAUGAUGCGCCGAAGAUCCAACGAGGCUAAAACAUUGAACCGAAUUUUGAGAUUUGGUGCGAUUUAUCGCACUAAGUGGUAGGGGAGCGUUCUGUGUACUUUGAAGCUCGACCGUAAGGAUCGGGUGGAGUGAUCAGAAGUGAGAAUGCUGGCAUGAGUAACGAAUAUCAGGGUGAGAAUCCCUGACUCCGAAAAUCCAAGGUUUCCGCACCCACGUUCGUCGUGUGCGGGUUAGGCGAUCCUAAGGUCAG
rnacentral:rRNA from 1 species